rnacentral:tRNA from 1 species
GCCUGGGUGGCUCAGUGGGUUAAGUGUCUGACUCUUGAUUUCAGCUCAGGUCAUGAUCUCACAGUCGUAAGAUCAAGUCCUGCCUCAGGCU